UACGGAGGGAGCUAGCGCUGUUCGGAAUUACUGGGCGUAAGGCGCGCGUAGGCGGCUACCCAAGUCAGAGGUGAAAGCCCGGGGCUCAACCCCGGAACUGCCUUUGAAACUAGGUGGCUGGAAUCUUGGAGAGGUCAGUGGAAUUCCGAGUGUAGAGGUGAAAUUCGUAGAUAUUCGGAAGAACACCAGUGGCGAAGGCGACUGACUGGACAAGUAUUGACGCUGAGGUGCGAAAGCGUGGGGAGCAAACAGG
rnacentral:rRNA from 1 species